AAUUGAUUGAUGGUGCUUGCACCUGAUUGAUUUUGGUYGCCAACGAGUGGCGGACGGGUGAGUAACACGUAGGUAACCUGCCCAGAAGCGGGGGACAACAUUUGGAAACAGAUGCUAAUACCGCAUAACARCGUUGUUCGCAUGAACAACGCUUAAAAGAUGGCUUCUCGCUAUCACUUCUGGAUGGACCUGCGGUGCAUUAGCUUGUUGGUGGGGUAACGGCCUACCAAGGCGAUGAUGCAUAGCCGAGUUGAGAGACUGAUCGGCCACAAUGGGACUGAGACACGGCCCAUACUCCUACGGGAGGCAGCAGUAGGGAAUCUUCCACAAUGGGCGCAAGCCUGAUGGAGCAACACCGCGUGAGUGAAGAAGGGUUUCGGCUCGUAAAGCUCUGUUGUUAAAGAAGAACACGUAUGAGAGUAACUGUUCAUACGUUGACGGUAUUUAACCAGAAAGUCACGGCUAACUACGUGCCAGCAGCCGCGGUAAUACGUAGGUGGCAAGCGUUAUCCGGAUUUAUUGGGCGUAAAGAGAGUGCAGGCGGUUUUCUAAGUCUGAUGUGAAAGCCUUCGGCUUAACCGGAGAAGUGCAUCGGAAACUGGAUAACUUGAGUGCAGAAGAGGGUAGUGGAACUCCAUGUGUAGCGGUGGAAUGCGUAGAUAUAUGGAAGAACACCAGUGGCGAAGGCGGCUACCUGGUCUGCAACUGACGCUGAGACUCGAAAGCAUGGGUAGCGAACAGGAUUAGAUACCCUGGUAGUCCAUGCCGUAAACGAUGAGUGCUAGGUGUUGGAGGGUUUCCGCCCUUCAGUGCCGGAGCUAACGCAUUAAGCACUCCGCCUGGGGAGUACGACCGCAAGGUUGAAACUCAAAGGAAUUGACGGGGGCCCGCACAAGCGGUGGAGCAUGUGGUUUAAUUCGAAGCUACGCGAAGAACCUUACCAGGUCUUGACAUCUUGCGCCAACCCUAGAGAUAGGGCGUUUCCUUCGGGAACGCAAUGACAGGUGGUGCAUGGUCGUCGUCAGCUCGUGUCGUGAGAUGUUGGGUUAAGUCCCGCAACGAGCGCAACCCUUGUUACUAGUUGCCAGCAUUAAGUUGGGCACUCUAGUGAGACUGCCGGUGACAAACCGGAGGAAGGUGGGGACGACGUCAGAUCAUCAUGCCCCUUAUGACCUGGGCUACACACGUGCUACAAUGGACGGUACAACGAGUCGCGAACUCGCGAGGGCAAGCAAAUCUCUUAAAACCGUUCUCAGUUCGGACUGCAGGCUGCAACUCGCCUGCACGAAGUCGGAAUCGCUAGUAAUCGCGGAUCAGCAUGCCGCGGUGAAUACGUUCCCGGGCCUUGUACACACCGCCCGUCACACCAUGAGAGUUUGUAACACCCAAAGUCGGUGAGA
rnacentral:rRNA from 1 species